rnacentral:lncRNA from 1 species
UAAAAAUAUGUGCCAUUUUUAAUUAUUUCUUUAUCAGAGCACAGAUUUUAAUAGCCCAUUGGUGGUUCCACCUACUGGGUUAGAGCUGCGCAGAAAAGUCUAUGUUGAAGUAAAAGCUGCCAAUCUGACUGGAAAUUUUCAUCUCUUGCUGGACCACUGUUUUGCAACCCCAUCACCUUAUAAUCACACCAACAUCAAACAGCACAGCUUUUUCACAGGGUGAGUUACUUCUUAUUAAGAAUUUAUUGCUCAUAUCGCUAUAUUUGACUCUUAGUUGUUGAUGUGUGUGGUAGUACAUCAAUGUUUCUAUAUUGUUUUAUCACAGAUGUGUGGUACAGAUCCGGACAAUGGUGCUUUAUAAUGGCCUCUCCAAGUUUUCCAGAUUUUCAUUUGAAGCCUUCCGCUUUGUGGAGCACCGUAAUCAAGAAAUGUCUACUAUAUACCUGCACUGCAUACUGCGACUCUGCGAACCAAACAAGUGCCAAGAACUACUUGAUUCUUGCAACUCUACCAGAACACGAAGGCGAAGGGCCCUAGAACCUUACGGAUCGCCAGCUAAAGAUUCUGCCACAGUGUCUGUGGGUCCUCUGUACACCGCAGCCCUAAGUAAGUCAGUCGCAUACACACAUGAAUCCAGAAUGAGACCAGUCUGAGACCCAGCUUAUUGU